CCCUUUCAUUACAAUUACUUUUUGAGUGAAAAAAUAAAAAUGAAAAAUGGUUCAGAAAACAUUGAUGACGAUGACUGACGUCACUCAAUUCCAAUCAAUCAUGGAACAGCAGAUUUUUUGGCCGAUUAAUCGAUUAUCUCCGAUUAUUUUGGGACGAAAUAAUCGAUGCAACAUUGCAACAUCGAUUAUACCUAAUCGUUACACCUCAGUGCACACAACACUGAACAUAGCACUUGAGCAGCAUAGUUUUAGGUAUUUACUCGUAUCUCUUUCAUUCUUUAAGGUUUAGUGUUGAUAUUGUCGUUUGUGGCAGUGAAUAUUAAGUACUUCGUCGAGUGCUAAUUCCAAAAAAUUAAAAAAUGACCGAGAAGUUUUGUUGCAUAUUUUCUCAAAGAACCGGCGCAAUUAUAAUUUUGAGUGUUCCUGUGAUGUUCCUCAUUCAGUUCUGCAUCAUAGCCACAUUCGCCAAUUUAAGUUCGAUUUCCAAACCGCGUUUUUGGAUAGCAGUAUCUUUCAUAAUAAUUUUGGGAUUUUCUGGCUUCAUCGGACUACUUGGAGUUGAACAAAAAAACCCAUCGCUUCUGAUACCCGCAUUAUGGUUGAUACGAGGUCUUAUUUUUGGGACCCUGAUUAGCCAGAUUUCAUUCAUUUUAAAUUACUUCCAACUCACAUAUUUCAAAGAUUGUACCUUCAAAAGCGAUGACGAAUUUUUGUUUUCUCUGUUUUUUAGUAAGUUAUUGUAUCUAUUUUUUUUAAAAAUCGCUAGUAAAACCUACUUACUUACAUAUUGCGCACAAUUAAUGUUGGUUCUUUAAAUAUUCCAUCACUACCAAAUACUUAUCAAUUUUUUUAUUCUUCAUUUUUGUUUACCUACUUAUGCCAUUUAAAAAAAAAAAAUUACAGACGCCGUGCUGCUUUAUGCGUUAAAAACAGUUUUCGAGCACUUCGAGGAACUGAAGUUGAAACAAAAACCAUGUGCUCUGACUCAUAGCAGUCAAAACGUUGUGUGAACAAUUUGUUUGAUGGAAAAAUCUUUAACCUGUCAUUUGUGUACAUCUUAACCAUGGUGUGGAGGGAUUCGAGUCAUUCAAAUGUCUAUGGAACUUUUAUUGUAUGGUUAUGUUUAGAUUGGAUAAUAGAUACACUAAUUAAAAACCCAAAUAAUUUCAAUUUUCAAGCAAGUUAAUUUUAAAUUGGUAAUUUUGGGCAAAAAAAAAAAAUGAAAAAAUGAAAUUUUUUUCAAUUUAAUUAAAUUUUUUCUGAUCUUUCUGAUUUUUCAGUCGAGGAGGGUGUUCAAGUUUUAGGAGAAAUUAGGUGGAAAAUUUGAAACUAGAUAAAUCAUGUUAUCAAAAUUCAAAAAUGUCAUCUUCCGGAGGGAAAUUCAAUUCAUCUUAUCGUUUACCUACCUAAGAUUACUUACGCGUAUACGCGCCUAUAUGGGAAAGAAACAAUUUAAACAUUCGCAGGAAGCAUGAAAUUUAUCAAGAAGGAUCAUCUGUGUUUAUUAUACACCUAGGACUAGGACUUCUUUAUAAAUAGUUCAUAUUAUGUACCACAAGGAAAUUGUACUACCUAUUCAGAUAAAUCAGUUGUUAAUUGAUACGCGUAUGUUUAUGGAGUAAAUCUAUUUAAAAAUUACAAUCAUCACGCGUGAUGAUCAAGGUUAAUCGGAAGUAGUUGAGUACGUCUCUAAGUACAGGUACUGGGUAUCUUAUUGAGAUAUUUGUAUAGAUUCUUUGGUGGUCCGGUCCAACUGUGUGUGUAUACAAAGCAAACUUUUGGAAGAGCGCUAUGCGGAAUUCAGUUCAUUUGACAAUGGAGUAAGUAAGCAUUUCAAAACAAUAAAGUAUAGAUAGGUAUGCGAUGGUAAAUAGGUAGGCACACUCGUACAUCUACAUAUUCGAGUACCUAUUUUCAUAAAAAAGCUCGUAAUUAUGCGGGGAAGUUUGAGAAAACCCAUUUAGUUAACGACAACGUCCUUCCAUCUUCAUUCUUCCUAUUAGGUAUACUCAUUGCAAAGGUUUUUGCUAAUUGUUUUUGGAAUUCUAUUACACUGCCAAUUCACAACUGACUGUCUGUAUCUACUCGUAUGUAGCUUUUGCCAAGUACAGGUACCACUUGUUUAAGCAAUGAAGGAUGCAAAGCGCGAUUAGGUACAAUAUUACAUUUUUCAACCUAGAGGCAAAAUUUCAUUCAAUCCCUUUUUUUAAAAACAAUUUUGACAGUUCGAAUUUCUGUUGAAAUUUAAAAACUUAUUUGAUUAGCACAUCUUUAGAAUUUUCUUUCGAAAACUAGACAAUUUUUGAUCGCAGAAUUCGCAAAAUUAACGAAUCUUUA